GCAUUUGAAGAAGCUGAGAAGAAUGCUCCUUCUAUCAUCUUUAUUGACGAGAUUGAUUCAAUUGCUCCUAAGCGCGAAAAGACUCAUGGUGAGGUUGAAAGACGGAUUGUCUCACAGCUUUUAACUCUUAUGGAUGGGCUCAAAUCUCGGGCACAUGUUAUCGUCAUUGGGGCUACUAAUCGUCCAAAUAGUAUUGACCCAGCAUUGAGAAGGUUUGGAAGGUUUGAUAGGGA
rnacentral:misc_RNA from 1 species